rnacentral:rRNA from 1 species
UACGUAGGUGGCAAGCGUUGUCCGGAUUAUUGGGCGUAAAGCGCGCGCAGGCGGUCUUUAAGUCUGAUGUGAAAUCUUGCGGCUCAACCGCAAGCGGUCAUUGGAAACUGGGGACUUGAGUACAGAAGAGGAAGCGGAAUUCCACGGUGUAGCGGUGAAAUGCGUAGAGAUGUGGAGGAACACCAGUGGCGAAGGCGCUUUCUGGUCUGUGAACUGACGCUGAGGCGCGAAGCGUGGGGAGCAAACAGG